rnacentral:rRNA from 1 species
UACGGGAGGCAGCAGUGGGGAAUAUUGCACAAUGGGCGAAAGCCUGAUGCAGCUAUGCCGCGUGUAUGAAGAAGGCCUUAGGGUUGUAAAGUACUUUCAUCGGGGAGGAAAAACAAAACUAAUAAUUUUAUUUCUUGACGUUACCCGAAAAAGAAGCACCGGCUAACUCCGUGCCAGCAGCCGCGGUAAUACGGAGGGUGCUAGCGUUAAUCAGAAUUACUGGGCGUAAAGAGCACGUAGGUGGUUUUUUUAAGUCAGAUGUGAAAUCCCUGGGCUUAACCUAGGAACUGCAUUUUGAAACUGAAAUACUAGAGUAUCGUAGAGGGAGGUAGAAUUCUAGGUGUAGCGGUGAAAUGCGUAGAUAUCUGGAGGAAUACCUGUGGCGAAAGCGGCCUCCUAAACGAAUACUGACGCUGAGGUGCGAAAGCGUGGGGAGCAAAACAGGGAUUAGAUACC